rnacentral:miRNA from 1 species
CUGGUGAGUCUGGUUGCUGGUG